rnacentral:rRNA from 1 species
AUUGAACGCUGGCGGCAGGCCUAACACAUGCAAGUCGAACGAGUGGCGGACGGGUGAGUAAUGUCUGGGAAAAUGCCUGAUGGCGGGGGAUGAAUACUGGAAACGGUAGCUAAUACCGCAUACCAUCGGAUGUGCCCAGAUGGGAUUAGCUAGUAGGUGGGGUAAAGGCUCACCUAGGCGACGAUCCCUAGCGGGUUUGAGAGGAUGACCAGCCACACUGGAACUGAGACACGGUCCAGCCGCCUACGGACGGCAGCAGUGGGGAUGAUUGCACUAUGGGCGCAAGCCUGAUGGAGCCAUGCCGCGUGUCUGAAUAAGGCCUUCGGGUUGUAAAGCACUUUCAGCGAGGAGGCGUUACUCGCAGAAGAAGCACCGGCUAACUCCGUGCCAGCAGCCGCGGUAAUUC